AUACGGAGGGGGCUAGCGUUGUUCGGAAUUACUGGGCGUAAAGGGUGCGUAGGCGGCCUAUCAAGUCGGGCGUGAAAGCCCCGGGCUCAACCCGGGAUGUGCGUCCGAGACUGGUAGGCUUGAGUUCGGGAGAGGUGAGUGGAAUUCCCAGUGUAGAGGUGAAAUUCGUAGAUAUUGGGAAGAACACCGGUGGCGAAGGCGGCUCACUGGACCGACACUGACGCUGAGGCACGAAAGCGUGGGGAGCAAACAGGAUUAGAUACCCUGGUAGUCCACGCCGUAAACGAUGUGCGCUAGACGUGGGGGGUUCGGCCUUCCGUGUCGCAGCUAACGCAUUAAGCGCACCGCCUGGGGAGUACGGCCGCAAGGUUAAA
rnacentral:rRNA from 1 species